rnacentral:rRNA from 1 species
GACGAACGCUGGCGGCGUGCUUAACACAUGCAAGUCGAGCGGUAAGGCCUUUUCGGAGGUACACGAGCGGCGAACGGGUGAGUAACACGUGAGCAACCUACCCUUCACUUCGGGAUAAGCCUCGGAAACGGGGUCUAAUACCGGAUAUCACUUCGGGUUUCAUGACCUGGGGUUGAAAGUUCUGGCGGUGGGGGAGUGGGCGUCGCGGCCUAUCAGCUUGUUGGUGGGGUAAGUGGCCUACCAAGGCGUCGACGGGUAGCCGGCCU